rnacentral:rRNA from 1 species
GCUUAACACAUGCAAGUCGAGGGGCAGCAUGGUCUUAGCUUGCUAAGGCCGAUGGCGACCGGCGCACGGGUGAGUAACACGUAUCCAACCUGCCGUCUACUCUUGGACAGCCUUCUGAAAGGAAGAUUAAUACAAGAUGGCAUCAUGAGUCCGCAUGUUCACAUGAUUAAAGGUAUUCCGGUAGACGAUGGGGAUGCGUUCCAUUAGAUAGUAGGCGGGGUAACGGCCCACCUAGUCUUCGAUGGAUAGGGGUUCUGAGAGGAAGGUCCCCCACAUUGGAACUGAGACACGGUCCAAACUCCUACGGGAGGCAGCAGUGAGGAAUAUUGGUCAAUGGGCGAGAGCCUGAACCAGCCAAGUAGCGUGAAGGAUGACUGCCCUAUGGGUUGUAAACUUCUUUUAUAAAGGAAUAAAGUCGGGUAUGGAUACCCGUUUGCAUGUACUUUAUGAAUAAGGAUCGGCUAACUCCGUGCCAGCAGCCGCGGUAAUACGGAGGAUCCGAGCGUUAUCCGGAUUUAUUGGGUUUAAAGGGAGCGUAGAUGGAUGUUUAAGUCAGUUGUGAAAGUUUGCGGCUCAACCGUAAAAUUGCAGUUGAUACUGGAUAUCUUGA